rnacentral:lncRNA from 1 species
GCGGGAAGCGGGAGGGCGGGGGCCAGCAGCGCCCCCAGGCCCGAGCUGGGAGCGAGGCUCGCCCGCUGCGCCGGGAGCUCCCUUCGCUGUCUGCACCAGGAGGAGGAGGAUCCAACGCGUGGUCCAGAAACAAAAGCGAACCGUCCUGAGCCACAAACACCUUCUUCGGAAACUGCACACAGACACACGCACGCACACGCACCGCAGACCCACACUCGCGCGCGCGCACACACACCACUCGCACAAACUUCUCGAGCGAAGAGCAAUACACAGAGGCUCCUUCCUCUCCUCCCCCUGCCCUCCUCCCUCCUCUACCCUUCUCUGUCUUUUUCUCAAAAAAACUAGCCACCACCCAGCACAGGACUGUCAGAACAUUUGAAAACAAACAGGACCUAUAAAAAAGACCCUUUGUGUGGAUUAUAUUAUACAUAAAAUGCUCCAAGUCCUGCUUGAUAUCUACUUACAAUGAGACUGUUUUUCCUAAAAAGGAAGCAUCAAAAAAGGCUUAAGGUGAGAAAUUAAACUGGAAGUCUAGCGACAGUUUCUCUGUAUUUCAUAACAUCUGUAUAAAUAGGGUUCAAAAGAUUGUGUUCUCUUUUAUUUUCUUGUAAAUGUUCAUUCGAAUAGAGGUGGGGUUUUUUUUUGGUGAAUUCCUGAAAUUCAGGGAGUUUUCUUUUUUAAUUUUCUGAUGCACUUUGUGAAAGUCAGUAUAUAUGUAAAAGAUAUUUAAAAUGUUGAGUUAUCAUUUCACUCAAACACGUAAAUUAAGGUCAUCUAAAGAAAUUAAAUGCGUUUAUCUGUAUGAAGAAAAUCUUGACAUCAUAUUUUCAUUUUGGUAUUAUUAAAGGACUCUGAACAAUACACCUCCUUUUUUUUAUAUCCUGUUUCCCUCUCAGUAACCUUUACGUGGGUCGAUUUUUGUUUUUCUUUUUGGUUGGGAAACAGUUCCCUUAAUGUUAGUUGUAGGUAAUGUAAAGUUUAUAUGGGUUAUAAAAGCCAUAAUACAUAUACGUUUUUGAGAAGUCAAAACUAUUUAUUUGUAUAUCAACAGCGUAAAUUAAAUUGGGUUAUAAGAA